ensembl:lncRNA
CAAUUAACCUCAGGGCAAAUCCAGGGAAGUUAGGUGUCCUUCGUUCUGAUUCUCACUAAGUUAUUUGUCACGAGAGACAAUUCUGCACCGAUAUUUCUUCCCGCAGACCACGCCAGCAAUGCAGUAUCGUGGUGCCGACGAUGCCAGGUUCUGCUCAGAUCUGCCCUGUUGAAAGCUGGCACUUAUUUCUGCGGGGCUCGAUUUUUCACACUUGUUGUGGCUUUGAAAUUUGGUGCAGUCGUAAUUUGUAAUGAUGCUUAAUGCAGAAUGUGAUUUGGGUCACAGUGAAAGCUUCAGUCUGAGCAUGAGGGUUGUGCGUCUUCUCACCUAUCUUCACGUGGGACUGGAACUCAAAGGCACGAUAACGAAUGCUAACAGUGAGCAGUCACUAAAUUUCAAGAGAGCUGCCUCCCUAAACGGCAAAACAAAGAGUCCACAAGGAUGAAGAUCUAAAAAGAGCUGUAGUCGAGGUCUUGUGAGAGUGAAGGGAAGCAGUAAUCAGGCAUCUUAAGUAAUUGGAUCAUAGAGACUUCAACUAGACAGAAAAUCGAACGGUUAGUUCAGUGCAGGAAUGGGACAGGGAGAGAAAUACAAAGCUAGAGAGCUCAGAGAGGGCAGACCACAAUAUAUAAUGCUUUUUUUGUCUGGCUGGAGAGCCCAGUGAACAGAAAACAAUAGGACCAUGAAGUCCUAAUCUUCAGCUCUCCGCUGCCAACACAAGGCACCACAGCUGUGUUUCUAAAUUUAAAAAAAAAAAAUCUGUUUUCCAUCCUCCAUCAUAAGGAAAGACAAAAAAUAUAUUCCAACAUAAUGUACUACUUGGCUACCGUGCAAUGUUGGUACAUGACACAUUUUCCUUUCUGUGGUCAGUCUUUUAGUGAUAGUUCAGUGUGAUGAUAAAGCAAGUGAAGACUAUACUGAAAUUUUGAAGUCUUCCUACUCAAAAAGUAUAGAUGCAUGAAAAUUAAUAGUAGUUGAAUGUUAGAAAGAAGGUUAUAUAUCUACCCUUUGUUUCUAGGUUAAUUUUAGCUCCAUUGGUUCGGCUGUGCCUUUGCAUGAAUACUUGUGCCUGUACAGACGAUGGUAGAAACAAGCAGCUGAUGAUGGAGAAAAUGGUGAGACUGGUUUUAUUAUGUUAAGCAAUGCUGGCUUAAAGUUAUCUCUUAGGUUUAGCUGUAAAGCAGAAAUCGUAUUAGGGUCUCAAUCUUUUUCUCAUCUACUCGUGUACAAUUCUGUUUACCUCAGUAGGAGAUUUGUACGUAGAACUGAUUGGAAAAUUGGGUCUUAGAUAACUACAGUGUGCUUUGCUUACAUCAGCAGGGUUAAGAAUUCACCGAAUCUGGAGUCGGGAAGGAAUUUCCCUCAUGAGCAUAAUGUCAGCAACAUAAUCAGGGCUUGGGAACAAUCUGUUAGCACACAGAGAAAGGAUUAUGGUAGGACCAGGAUGCAGACAAAGCAAAGAGGAUGAUUCUUAGCAUGGUUUUGAGCAACACAGAAAAC